AGAAGAGACCAGAACUAGUAAAGCUUUUUACGACAGGGGCUGCAGAACAAAUCAAGCACAUCCUGGCUAAUUUCAAAAACUACCAGUAGUUUUUGGUGAAAACAUGAAUCUGGAUGCCAUGGCUCUCUGCUGGACUAUCGUGAAGAUGGUGGGACCCAUACAUGAUUUUCUUUAAGGAUGGUUUAUAAAUGGAAAAAUGUUAACAAAUUUGGCAGUUUGGGUCAGUUAACUGUCAUAACUGGCUGCUGCUUUUCAUCUUCACACCAGGACUAGGGCAAAUGGGACUGAUGUUAUCUUGAGCUCGUCAUUUAUUUUGACCUUGAUUUUUUUGGAGCAGAGGCAUUGUUUUUAAG